AUGAGCACGCAGGACGGCGAGAUGUCGGCCACCCUCCACCACCGCCCCCGCUCGCCGCUGGAAGACGAGGAUCUGCUCCUCGAGAUCCUCCUCCGCCUCCCGCCGCAGCCGUCCUCCCUCCCCCGCGCCUCCGCCGUCUGCAAGCGCUGGCGCUGCCUCGUCUCCGACCGCGGCUUCCUCCGCCGCUACCGCCGACACCACCGCCGCAGCCCUCCCCUCCUCGGUUUCUUCCGCAACGACCUGCGAGGUAUCUCCUACACGCCUGCCAUGGAGGCCCCCGAUCUUGUUCCCGCCGACCGCUUCUCCGCGCAUCUCCACGACGCCGGCUACCACUUCCAUCUCCUCAGCUGCCGCCACGGCCUCGUGCUCAUCUCCCACUCGUCGCGGAGCCAGAUCCUGGUGUGGGACCCCGUCAAUGGCGACCAGCACCGCAUUGCCGCUCCCCUUGGGUUCGACAUGAAAAGUACCCCGAUGGACGGGGCGGUGCUUCGCAUUGCCGGCGACGCCCACCACUUCCAGGUGGUAUUGGUGAGCUACAAACAGGAAGAUGAACAGGCGAUCGUCUCCAUUUACUUGUCGGAGACCGGUGGAUGGAGUGAUCUUAUCUCAACGCCGGUUCCAGGCAAGACCAUGGAUUAUGAAGGCAUGCCCGCUGUGCUGGCCGGGGAUUCCCUUUACUGGCUGCUCCCUGGGGACAAUAUAAGUGUAAUUCUUGAAGUUGAUUUGGAUAGCCAGAGUCUAGCUGCGAUACGGGUGCCGACGAAUAUGUUUGCCGAAGAUAAGACAAGCAACAUAUGGAUGCUAGCUUACGCCGAGGAAAAUAAUGUGGCUUUCAUGCGUACGAUUGCUGGUAUCUUCAUGGUCCAGCUUGAGUCAUUGCGGUUCAGUAAACUUCCUGAAAACAACAACGCUGUUGUCUGUUAUCCAUUCGAAAGUGUCUAUGCUCCAGAAGCAAGCAUUGGUGGUGCCAUGGAGCUGAUCAAGAUAAGCUAUGAGGGCUCUGAUAUUUUCUCUACAAUCCAUUCCACAAAAACGGAAUCGCAAGAGAGGGCUCUUAAGAUUUUCUCGACAACCCUUUGGUUAACUGCUGCCCACCUGGCCACCUCCUGUCAUGCUUCCUUCAUGGCAGGCUACAUCUUGUUUCUUAUCUCCAGACACUGCUUCCUCAUCCCUUCGUCAGCGUCUCUCCAUUCUUUUCCUCAUGCCCUAACCCACCUACACCAUCUUUUAUCAGCUGAUGCUUUAAACUCCUCCACUGGAGGUGCUCUUUCGCUUGCCUUUCCCUUCUAUUCAGCUGCCUUUCUUUCAGUUUGCCACCUCAUUGGUACUCUCCAAGUUCCCUCUGCUAGUGCAGGUUCUUCUCCUCUAGCUCCCUAG
rnacentral:rRNA from 1 species